rnacentral:rRNA from 1 species
AACGAACGCUGGCGGCAUGCCUAACACAUGCAAGUCGAACGAGACCUUCGGGUCUAGUGGCGCACGUGUGCGUAACGCGUGGGAACCUGCCCUUAGGUUCGGAAUACCUCCCCGUAAGGGGUGCUAAUACCGGAUAAUGUCUUCGGACCAAAGAUUUCUCGCCUUUGGAUGGGCCCGCGUUGGAUUCGCUAGUUGGUAGGGUAAAAGCCUACCAAGGCGACGAUCCAUAGCUGGUCGGAGAGGAUGAUCAGCAACACUGGGAAUGAGACACGGCCCAGACUCCUACGGGAGGGAGCAGAGGGGAAUAUUGGACAAUGGGGGAAAGUCUGACAAAGCAAUGCGGGGUGAGUGAUGAAGGCCUUAGGGUUGUAAAGCUGUUUGACCCGGGAUGAUAAUGACAGUACCGGGAGAAUAAGCACCGGCUAACUACGUG